ACAUCUUAACGGCUUGUGUGCCUUGGGUUCCCUCUUUUUUUUUUCUUUUCUUCUUCUUUUCAUUUUUGCUCUAUAAUGUAUACAUGUUUUCGCCCUACUUAAUGAAUCACCGUGAAACCUGCUUGCCCGUCAAAACAAAUAAUGGUUGUGUGCAUCAUAUAUUCAUAUGAUACAAAGGCUAGAGGUAUCACUCUCCAUUCCAGGGAAGAAAACGUGAGCGAGAGAGUGACUUUAACACGCGUUUUCAAGGACGAAGCCCAGAGAUAAGUCGAUAUGCAUAAAAAUGCUCACACACCUAUAUGCGUGAUCGUCAGCUAGCUUUGAUGGCAUGCAACAAGUUGGAGCAAGUGGUCAGAGACUUUUUUACCCACAAUGGGUGGCGGUCUAGUUUGCGGAUUGAGUCUGCAUAGAGAUGUUACUUUUCUUUCGAUGUAAUAAUUUAUUUGUGUCUCGUACUUGGUUGGCUGUGUGCGUUUCGGCGCAGAGACCGGGGAUGUGAUACUCUAUGUGUAUUGAUCGAUAUGCCGUCGAGAUCAAUAAAAAGCUUUCAUUUUCGAAAAAUGCGUGUGAAUGUGUGGGUCGGGGGUAUUUAAAAACAUUUUAGAUUCAACCUACGCAAAACAGCCAGUGAAGUUUUUUUGCUAUUCCCCCGGUAAUGUGGCGGCCUCGUCGUCUUGAUCAAGACUAUUGGUUCAGCACCGGGACGCCGGGCUUCGUGCCGCGCGGGCCCAGGUCUACUAGUUUGGAGCGCCCAUGUGCGGUUUAGACUUGGGCCUUCAUGUACAUGCGGUUGCUAGACUAGAAGCCCACGCAGGCUAGCUCUGCUGGUGGGCUAUUCUCAAAAAUUAAUUUGUUAAUGGUGGGCUUCCUCGCCUCUCCCUUCUUCUUCCCUGCUGCAUCCUGCAUGGCGCGAUCCUCUAAAAGCAUUUUUCUCGCGCGAUCCUCAGGGAAAAUAAAAAAAGAAGUCCUCGCGCGCUCUCAGUUGCUUGUUUGGUCGCGCAAACGCUUGGAAUCGAUCGGCCGGUUCGGCGCCGUAUAGAUGCCCAUGAGCUAGCUAAGCGCUCGAUCCGACAGUCGAUGUCGAUCAAGCAACAGAUGGAACGAUUCCGGAUGGCACCCGGCAGUUUCGGGGCCGGGUCCCGCCAUACCAGAUCCGGACCCGUACCCGGCACCGGGUCCACAUUUUUCUCAGACCCGGACCCGAUACGGUCCCGGGUAUCCGCAGGUAAACCCGACCCGGCGACCGUAUACACCAAAAAGUUCAAAAAACAAAAAUAAAUUACAACAAGGAGCUGAACUUUUACACAAACAACCCCGAAGCAAAAUAGAAAAAAGCAAUCCAAUCCUAGGAGGCUAGGAGCAGCGAUGC
rnacentral:lncRNA from 1 species